rnacentral:rRNA from 1 species
UGCACCCUACGGGGCGCAGCAGUGGGGAAUAUUGCACAAUGGGGGAAACCCUGAUGCAGCGACGCCGCGUGAGUGAAGAAGUAUUUCGGUAUGUAAAGCUCUCUCAGCAGGGAAGAAGUUGACGGUACCUGAGUAAGAAGCCCCGGCUAACUACGUGCCAGCAGCCGCGGUAAUACGUAGGGGGCAAGCGUUAUCCGGAUUUACUGGGUGUAAAGGGAGCGUAGACGGCAGUGCAAGUCUGAAGUGAAGGCCGCGGGCUUAACC